rnacentral:misc_RNA from 1 species
AGCAGCUCUCCAAAGCUGGGCUGAGAGCAGAGUAUUUGUCCAGUCAUGAUUUGCAAUUGGUGGAACCUGCACUAGAGGUUGGGGAAUGUGGUGGUGCUGCCUUUCUUCCAGAUGAUUGUCAAUUGGAUGCUCAGCGAACCGUUGCAUUUAUUGAAAAGACUAAUAGACAGUUUGCAUCAAAAGGGAGAUAUGCAGAGUUCUAUCAUGAUCCAGUGAUGAGUUUAUUGAGAUCUCCUAGCAAUGGAGUGGUUAAGGCUGUUCGGACUUCCAAGAAUACCUUGUAUAGUAAGAAGGCCAUUAUAGUUGCAGCUGGUUGUUGGAGUGGGUCUUUGAUGCAUGACUUGUUUAUAGAAUCUGAUACUGCUUUGAAUGUCCCCGUUAAGCCUCGGAAGGGUUACUUACUUGUGCUCGAAAACUUUACUUCCCUUAAAUUGAAUCAUGGUGUGAUGGAGGCAGGUUAUGUUGAUCACUAUGGCGCAGGUAAGCGAGUCACAAAUUCUGCAUCAGGACUGGUUGAUCAUGGGGCAAAACCUGUCUGUUUCAAUGACAGCUACAAUGGACUCGAUGGGAAACCUUGUUCUUGGGAGCAGCCGUCAGUUUUCAGGGUUUAAUACUGAAGUGGAUGAAUCCAUUGUUGGUCAUAUAUGGAACCGGGCUGGAGAAUUCUUUCCCAAACUAAAAGAGCUGUCCCUCAGAGAUUUCACUAUGAGCAGAAAGCUGAGAAUAGGCUUGCGCCCUUAUAUGCCUGAUGGGAAGCCAGUGAUUGGGCCUUUGCCUGAUCUCAAAAAUGUGCUCAUUGCAACUGGUCAUGAAGGUGGAGGACUUUCUAUGGCUUUGGGUACUGCUGAAAUGGCUGCAGAUAUGGUGUUGGGCAAUCCUGGGACUGUUGAUUAUGCACCAUUUGCUGUUCAGGAUCGGUGUUGUUGAUGCAAUCUGUGCCUAUGAAGAGAUCAGAAAUUUGAUUUGACACAUUUGCAGACUUGUUAAUGGGCUGCUGGUUCUCAGGGAAAUCCAAGGUCUCAUGGAAUAAAGUUUUGCUGUAGUAGCUGGCAUAUUUGGUCAAUGGAGUUGGAUUAAUCGUACUAGUGUAGGCUAUCAUAACAAAUCCAAUGAAAUGUCUGUGAAGGCUGGGGAAACCUGCAAACUUCGAAUUCGUGCUGGAUUAAUUCCUGCAAGCAUCUGAUGUCCAAACUCUUCAUCAUCCUUCCAGGCUAAUUCGUUUUCUGAAGAAUAAUAUGCAAGCUCAAUUUAUAAAUGUUAAACAAAUAAAUGGAACAUCUAUCUUUUAGACUCCAUAAAUUGUAAGAGCAGUUUGCAAGGUGCAGCACCUGUUAUAAUUUGAGGCAAUGGGAAUUCUAUGGACUCUUUGGUUGCA